AGAGUUUGAUCCUGGCUCAGGACGAACGCUGGCGGCGUGCCUAACACAUGCAAGUCGAGCGGAGAUUGCAGUAAUGUAAUCUUAGCGGCGGACGGGUGAGUAACGCGUGGGCGGUGAGUAACGCGUGGACAACCUGCCUCACACUGGGGGAUAACACAGGGAAACUUGUGCUAAUACCGCAUAACAUCAUGAAAGGACAUCCUUUUAUGAUCAAAGGAGUAAUCCGGUGAGAGAUGGGCCCGCGUCCAAUUAGCUAGUUGGUGGUGUAACGGCCCACCAAGGCGACGAUGGGUAGCCGACCUGAGAGGGUGAUCGGCCACACUGGAACUGAGACACGGUCCAGACUCCUACGGGAGGCAGCAGUGGGGAAUAUUGCGCAAUGGGGGAAACCCUGACGCAGCAACGCCGCGUGAGGGAAGAAGGUUUUCGGAUUGUAAACCUCUGUGAUUCGUNNNNNNNNNNNNNNNNNNNNNNNNNNNNNNGUAUGUACCUUGCGAAUAAGGAUCGGCUAACUCCGUGCCAGCAGCCGCGGUAAUACGGAGGAUGCAAGCGUUAUCCGGAUUUAUUGGGUUUAAAGGGUGCGUAGGCGGUGAUAUAAGUCAGCGGUGAAAGUUUUCAGCUCAACUGGAAAAAUGCCGUUGAUACUGUAUCGCUGGAAUAUGGUUGCUGUGAGUGGAAUGUGUAGUGUAGCGGUGAAAUGCUUAGAGAUCACACAGAAUAUCGAUUGCGAAGGCAGCUCACAAAGCCAUUAUUGACGCUGAGGCACGAAAGUGUGGGGAUCAAACAGGAUUAGAUACCCUGGUAGUCCACACUGUAAACGAUGAUAACUAGCUGUCGGCGAUACACAGUCGGUGGCCAAGCGAAAGCGAUAAGUUAUCCACCUGGGGAGUACGACCGCAAGGUUGAAACUCAAAGGAAUUGACGGGGGCCCGCACAAGCGGAGGAACAUGUGGUUUAAUUCGAUGAUACGCGAGGAACCUUACCCGGGCUUGACAUCCUGCGGAAUAUGGUAGAGAUAUCAUAGCUAGCAAUAGUCUGUAUCGAGGUGCUGCAUGGUUGUCGUCAGCUCGUGCCGUGAGGUGUCGGCUUAAGUGCCAUAACGAGCGCAACCCUUGUCGUUAGUUGCCAGCGGAUCAUGCCGGGGACUCUAACGAGACUGCCACCGUAAGGUGUGAGGAAGGGGGGGAUGACGUCAAAUCAGCACGGCCCUUACGUCCGGGGCGACACACGUGUUACAAUGGUAGGUACAGAGGGCAGCUACCCAGCGAUGGGAUGCGAAUCUCUAAAACCUAUCUCAGUUCGGAUCGGAGUCUGCAACUCGACUCCGUGAAGUUGGAUUCGCUAGUAAUCGCGCAUCAGCCAUGGCGCGGUGAAUACGUUCCCGGGCCUUGUACACACCGCCCGUCAAG
rnacentral:rRNA from 1 species